UUUUUUAAUUGAAAACUUGUAUGAAAGGUUGAACAAAAAAUUAGCUGUUUUAUUAAAAAUUAUAGAAUUUUACUUUUUAGUUAAAAGGCUUAAAUAUUUUUAAAAGACGAGAAGACCCUUUAGAGUUUAAUUUAAUAUAUUAUUUAUUUAAAAUAGAAAAUUUUUAAUAAAAUAAUUUAUUCUAUUUUGUUGGGGUGACAUUUAAAUUUAAUAAACUUUUUUUAUUUUUUACAUUAAUUUAUGAAUUAUUGAUCCAAUAUUAUUGAUUAAAAAUUUAAAUUACCUAAGGGAUAACAGCGUAAUUUUUUCUUAGAGAUCUUAUCAAUGAAAAUUUUUGC
rnacentral:rRNA from 1 species